rnacentral:rRNA from 1 species
GAUGAAUGCUGGCGGCGUGCCUAACACAUGCAAGUCGAGCGGCAGCGAGGGGUGCUUGCACCCUGUCGGCGAGCGGCGAACGGCUGAGUAACGCGUAGGAAUUUGCCCCAAAGUGAGGAAUAACUGCCCGAAAGGGUAGCUAAUGCCGCAUAUGGUCUUCGGAUUAAAGGAUUUAUCCGCUUUGUGAGAAGCCUGCGUUGGAUUAGGUUGUUGGUAGGGUAAUGGCCUACCAAGCCGACGAUCCAUAGCUGGUCUGAGAGGAUGAUCAGCCAGACUGGAACUGAGACACGGUCCAGACUCCUACGGGAGGCAGCAGUGAGGAAUCUUCCACAAUGGGCGAAAGCCUGAUGGAGCAACGCCGCGUGAAGGAUGAAGGCCUUCGGGUUGUAAACUUCUUUUAUGAGUGAAGAAUAUGACGGUAACUCGUGAAUAAGCACCGGCUAACUACGUG